ACGCUCGACACCUACGGGAGGCAGCAGUGGGGAAUAUUGCACAAUGGAGGAAACUCUGAUGCAGCGAUGCCGCGUGAGGGAAGAAGGUUUUCGGAUUGUAAACCUCUGUCUUUGGGGACGAUAAUGACGGUACCCAAGGAGGAAGCUCCGGCUAACUACGUGCAGCAGCCGCGGUAAUCUGGAGCGGGCUGGACAAGGC
rnacentral:rRNA from 1 species